GACGAACGCUGGCGGCGUGCCUAAUACAUGCAAGUCGAGCGAGACUCUUCGGAGUCUAGCGGCGGACGGGUGAGUAACACGUGGGCAACCUGCCUGUAAGACUGGGAUAACACCGGGAAACCGGUGCUAAUACCGGAUAAUCCUUUUCCUCUCAUGAGGAAAAGUUGAAAGUCGGUUUCGGCUGACACUUACAGAUGGGCCCGCGGCGCAUUAGCUAGUUGGUGAGGUAACGGCUCACCAAGGCGACGAUGCGUAGCCGACCUGAGAGGGGGAGCGGCCACACUGGGACAGAGACACGGCCCAGACUCCUACGGGAGGCAGCAGUAGGGAAUCUUCCACAAUGGACGAAAGUCUGAUGGAGCAACGCCGCGUGAGCGAUGAAGGCCUUCGGGUCGUAAAGCUCUGUUGUUAGGGAAGAACAAGUACCGGAGUAACUGCCGGUACCUUGACGGUACCUAACCAGAAAGCCACGGCUAACUACGUGCCAGCCGCCGCAGUAACAC
rnacentral:rRNA from 1 species